GGGGAAUAUUGGACAAUGGGCGCAAGCCUGAUCCAGCCAUACCGCGUGGGUGAAGAAGGCCUUCGGGUUGUAAAGCCCUUUUGUUGGGAAAGAAAUCCAGCCGGCUAAUACCUGGUUGGGAUGACGGUACCCAAAGAAUAAGCACCGGCUAACUUCGUGCCAGCAGCCGCGGUAAUACGAAGGGUGCAAGCGUUACUCGGAAUUACUGGGCGUAAAGCGUGCGUAGGUGGUUGUUUAAGUCUGUUGUGAAAGCCCUGGGCUCAACCUGGGAACUGCAGUGGAAACUGGACAACUAGAGUGUGGUAGAGGGUAGCGGAAUUCCCGGUGUAGCAGUGAAAUGCGUAGAGAUCGGGAGGAACAUCCAUGGCGAAGGCAGCUACCUGGACCAACACUGACACUGAGGCACGAAAGCGUGGGGAGCAAAC
rnacentral:rRNA from 1 species